UACAACUAAAGUAUGAUUGUUGCAGGAAAUAAUAUUUAUAGAUGCUGCCAAGAAUUUGAAGGGUGGCUCAGUUGAUCUUUUUGUCGUCAACUCGUAUGGCUCUGCUUAUCAAGCUAUUUUUAUGUGUCUCUUGUUUCCAUUCUUGUCAAAGUUAUGGGGUAUACCGUUCCAUCUACUGCCAACAUAUAUCA